GCCACCAUGCUGUGGGGAAGCCCGAGCAGACCGGGGAGGGGCCGUGUCUCCUUGUUCUGCUGAUGGCCCUGUGGUCCCGGCCGACAGCCAGCGUGAACGAAAUACCAGACCUGUGAGUGAGCAAGCCCUCAGAAGAUUCCAGUCCUCCCCUGGGUCCCUGCCAGCCUUGGAGUCUUCCAGCCGAAGACCUUGGAGCAGAGAUGAGCCUCCACGCCCUGCCUGAAUUCCUGACCCACAGAGUCUGGGAGCCUAACAGAAUGGUUCUUGUUUAAUGCCACUGAAUUUGGAAUUGAUCUUUGCGCGGGAAGGGAUAACAGAAGAGCAGCAUAGGAGACAUAUGAAGAAGACGGACGGUCUCGGUGAAGAAUGGGACCCUGAGACCCUGCAGGGGUAGAUCUGACUAAUUGGAAAUGGGCCUUGAAGACGAAGGACUGGCAAGACGGCACGCUGUAGACUGGAAUGAGACACUCGGAAUGGAAAGCAGAAAAGGAACCACUAGACUGUUUUCCAGAGCAGCUGCACCAUUAACCUUCCUUCUCCCAACUUCUGAAGCUUCUGAUUUCACUAGAGCUUUGUCAACACUUGUUACUGUCUUUUUCUAUUAAAACCAUCCCGGUGAGUGGGAAA